AAGUAACAGUUGUGGAAGAGAGAGCACCACAUCUAGCAUGUGGCUUGUGGCAGCCAAGCAUUUAUAAUGACAUUGUUUUUUGAUCCUUUGAUGUUAGCUUUUCUUAUCAUUGUGAAGUAAAAUUCACCAAGUCACCCACCAAUAGAGAAUGUGAGUUGGGUUUAAAUCGUCAAGAGACAUACUAAUGAGCUGUGCUGUAAUAAUAAUUCAACUUAGUAUGAAAGAUUUGCACAAUUGGUAAUUCGGCUUGGUUGAAAAACCAGUGGCGCGAAGCUACCAUGUGUGGGAUUACGACUGAACGCCUCUAAGUCAGAAAGGAUGUCGUUCUCUAGCCAGUCCCUGGCGAGGAAGAGUUCCUGGAGGCAGCAGAGUAGAGUGUUUGUUUCGGACUCU
rnacentral:ncRNA from 1 species